rnacentral:rRNA from 1 species
GACGAACCGUGCGAACGUUGCUCGGAAUGACUGGGCGUAAAGGGCGCGUAGGCGGAUGGCUUUGUCGGGCGUGAAAUUCCAGGGCUUAACCUUGGGGCUGCGUUCGAGACGGGUUGUCUUGAGUGGGGAAGAGGGUCGUGGAAUUCCCAGUGUAGAGGUGAAAUUCGUAGAUAUUGGGAAGAACACCGGUGGCGAAGGCGGCGACCUGGUCCUUUACUGACGCUGAGGCGCGAAAGCGUGGGGAGCAAACAGG